rnacentral:rRNA from 1 species
UAAAUACUCCUGACUGACCGAUAGUGAACCAGUACCGUGAGGGAAAGGCGAAAAGAACCCCGGCGAGGGGAGUGAAAAAGAACCUGAAACCGUGUACGUACAAGCAGUGGGAGCCUCUUUAUGGGGUGACUGCGUACCUUUUGUAUAAUGGGUCAGCGACUUAUAUUCUGUAGCAAGGUUAACCGAAUAGGGGAGCCGAAGGGAAACCGAGUCUUAACUGGGCGUUAAGUUGCAGGGUAUAGACCCGAAACCCGGUGAUCUAGCCAUGGGCAGGUUGAAGGUUGGGUAACACUAACUGGAGGACCGAACCGACUAAUGUUGAAAAAUUAGCGGAUGACUUGUGGCUGGGGGUGAAAGGCCAAUCAAACCGGGAGAUAGCUGGUUCUCCCCGAAAGCUAUUUAGGUAGCGCCUCGUGAAUUCAUCUCCGGGGGUAGAGCACUGUUUCGGCAAGGGGGUCAUCCCGACUUACCAACCCGAUGCAAACUGCGAAUACCGGAGAAUGUUAUCACGGGAGACACACGGCGGGUGCUAACGUCCGUCGUGAAGAGGGAAACAACCCAGACCGCCAGCUAAGGUCCCAAAGUCAUGGUUAAGUGGGAAACGAUGUGGGAAGGCCCAGACAGCCAGGAUGUUGGCUUAGAAGCAGCCAUCAUUUAAAGAAAGCGUAAUAGCUCACUGGUCGAGUCGGCCUGCGCGGAAGAUGUAACGGGGCUAAACCAUGCAC